UUACGACCACAUCAUGUUGAAAUACCGGUUCCCGUACGGUCAUCGAAGUUAAGCAACGUCGAGCCUGGUCAGUAACUUGAUGAGUGAUCUUUUAGAAAUACCAGGUGCUGUAA